AGCUUUCAUUUGGCCAUUCUUCCGUCAUCUUUUAUCGACCCAGUGGUCCAGUGAAGCUAUAACCGUAUAGUGCUCGGCUUGAGUCUUAAUGCUAGUAAGCGUCAGAAAAAGUAAACUCCAGGGUUCCGACUUGCUUAAGAAAUGGCACACCCCGGCAGCUUCCCAGCUUCGUGUAUUCCAUUCGCGGAGUGCCUUGUGCAUAUGAAAUUGUACUUGCAUCAGAAUUUGCAGGAAGGAUUGCUGGAUCAGGCUCCAGAUCCUCUUGAAAAGGUAGCAUUCCACAGAAAUUAGUUCUCUUGAAUUCCCAAUCUGAAAACUGUCCGAGGGAUUAUGUCCAAAAAGCUACUGUGUCCCUGUCUCUUUAUGCUUCGUAGCAGUGUGCAAUUGAAUAGUAUAGCUCCUAUUUUAAUUUUUGGCUUUUUUUGGGGGUGGUAAGGCGACACGCGUUGCGAUGUAUCUUUCUGAUUAAGGUGAGGAAGCUUUUCGUCUGUUCUCAAAGCACAGGUUGAUCUUUUCCAUCCUCCUCCCCGCUCUCCAUUACAGGACAUUUGCCACCGCCUUCUGGAAGAAAGUUGCCCUUAGCAAUACGUUCGUGCAGUUUGCGAUCCAGUCCCCUCCAGGUAGAGCAUGCCUGUGCAUGUAGGCUUUACCAGCACAUGUGCAAUAGACCACACAUGCAUUUUUUCCCUCCAUUGAAUUCAAAGAGAGCCGUAGCACCUGCAAGAUGCUUUGGAUACUCAUGUAAUAAGCAGCUGUCAAAAGAGCAUCGCAAAGUAAAUCAGAUGUGGUGUUUGUGAAAAGCAGCAUUUGCUAAAGUUACAGCGCAACUGUGAUUUCUCAACCUUAUUACUAUGCCAGGAAGAGGGGGGGGGGAAUAAACAAAUGGUUAGGAAGCAAUAAAAGGGAUGUUGAUGGGUCUUCUUCUUUUUUAUAUAUAUAAAUAUAUAGAGAGAAAUGUAUAUGAAAUUGUUUGGCUUUUCGUUUAGUGUCCUUCCCCCCCCCCCCUUUUAAAAAGUGUAGAUUUGGGAUGUUAGCUCAUUUGGUUUUUAUCUAUUUAUUAAUCAAAUUUGUAUAGCCACCCAUGUCACCCAAAGCUUUGAUUGCCUUUUUUUUUCUUACUGCAAUAGGGUUAAGUUGGAAAGUCCUUCUCUUUCAAUUAAAACCUAAUAAUUAAUGUGCACUGUUAUGAAGAAGUAUAUCUUACACCUUUUCCAACAUUUUGGACAAAGUUAUUGGUUUUUUUUUUAAAUUGGUUGUUUUUUUUAACAAAAACAAAUUCUUCAUUUGUUCAUUGGUUUUUGUUUUUUGAACAAAAACAAUUGCUUUGUUUUUGAACAUAACGGUAUUUUGAACAAAGUGUUAAGGGGAUGAUUUCCCCCCCCCCUUAAUUUUCAUAGGCACAAAACCAUAAGAGAAAUUCCCAUCUCUUUGCGCUUAAAAGUUUCAUUAUGAUUAUGAUUAUUUUAUUUUAUUAUUAUUAUUAUUAUUAUUAUGGUUGGUUGUACAGCCAGCCAGAUGUUGCUAUGAUAGAGGGGGGAGGUUAUGGGAAAAAAGAGAGAUAUUGAUUACAACUUUUGGGAAGUUUCCACCUGCCUAAUUUUAACUAAUCACCAAGUUUGAUCUUAAGUGGCUUUGAGAGGAUAGUUCUAAAAGGACAUUUAAAAAUUAAGAACAUACAUUUACAUUCUUCCAGCUCUUUCUACUUUCCUACCCAAUACAAACAAAUAACAGGGAGCCAAAAGUAAUACCCCGCUUGUUUUAAUAUUUGAAAGAAAUCACAAAAAAGAAUCUCCAUAGACAGAAAGAAAUAACACAUUUUCUUUCUUUCCUCCUGCUGGUACCAGUUUUGAACAUUGUUCAAAAGCAAAAUAUAGUACUAUAAAAUAAUUUUGUACUGUAUUUAUUGUGUAUAACGAUUUUUUAAAAGAAUUAUGUACAUUUAGUACUUCUGUGUAAAUUAAAUUGCUCUUUUUAAAAAUG